rnacentral:misc_RNA from 1 species
GCGAGUAUGGCCCUCACGGGUCUAAUCCACCAUAAACACCUUUGUGAACCAGUCAGGGGGACUCGGCCGUGAAGCCCAGGCGAUUAGCGGAAGGGCCCUCCUUUGCAAACCCGUUUAGAAGUCUUGAAAGUACUUUUGUAUAAUCUAGUA